rnacentral:rRNA from 1 species
GACGAACGCUGGCGGCGUGCUUAACACAUGCAAGUCGAACGGAAAGGCCUCUUUCGGGGGGUACUCGAGUGGCGAACGGGUGAGUAACACGUGAGUAACCUGCCCUUGACUUUGGGAUAACUUCAGGAAACUGGGGCUAAUACCGGAUAGGAGCUCCUGCUGCAUGGUGGGGGUUGGAAAGUUUCGGCGGUUGGGGAUGGACUCGCGGCUUAUCAGCUUGUUGGUGGGGUAGUGGCUUACCAAGGCUUUGACGGGUAGCCGGCCUGAGAGGGUGACCGGCCACAUUGGGACUGAGAUACGGCCCAGACUCCUACGGGAGGCAGCAGUGGGGAAUAUUGCACAAUGGGUGGAAGCCUGAUGCAGCAACGCCGUGUGCGGGAUGACGGCCUUCGGGUCGUAAACCGCUUUCGCUCAUGACGAAGCUUUGUGUGACGGUAGUGGGUAAAGAAGCACCGGCUAACUACGUG